GGGUAAAUGGGUUGAUAAUAUGAGAAGGCAGUUAUACAUUCCAUUAAUCAUUACAUUGCUUGAGGGAGAAAAUAUAAAACUUUGCUUUGUUACCUAUUCUCAAAGGGAAUCGCGAAUCCCAACUCCAUUAAAUACGGAAAACACUGCAAGGAAAGAAUCUCGGUUGUGAAGCAUAGUGAGAAUUUCCACCAAGCACACCUAAGUUGUAAUCACCUUUCUUUGAAGAAGCUGUUUUAUGGGGAUGAGUCAAUGUCUUCACAUUGAAGUGUCAUUAUAACAUUUCAAGUUUCUUAUGUUCGUGUUUAAAUCCAGGGCUUUCACUUUUGAAAGAAGGCAGUGCCAUGAAAGCUGUUUUCUCCCCACCUCAAGAAAAGUGACGCCAUUACAAUCACAUGGUUGAUUUAACCAGGUAAGGCGUGCCUUUCGCCUUCCACCAUUAUUGUGAGGCCUCCCCAGCCAUGUGGAACUCACAUGGGAAAUGUCAUCACACAAAUGAUCUAACUCCAUAUAACUACGCCAGAGAGAUUGGAAUUUAUAUUCAUGAGGAACACACAGACACAUAAUUCAUGAGUGAUGCUGACAUCAGUAAGUAAUCAGAGGGCCUCGGUGGACUAUAGAUCAAUUCUAAAUCUUCGAUAUAUUUAGUACGUGGUUGAGCUCUACAACUCUUCAUCUUGAAAAUUGUCAUCGAAUACAUUGCAUUCUGGGCUUGUAACUGCUGAACUAUGGGGCUUCAUGUUUAUGGACACGUAUGUGGCCUGUGUUUCAUUAUAUUCGAAC
rnacentral:lncRNA from 10 species